AUGAGUGGAUUAUCUCAUUGAAGCCUAUGAUGGAACGUAUACCAAAGGAAUCGUCCGGAGGAAAAGUACUGGAAAUGUUCGAAAAAGUUGCCAAAGAGGCGGACAAAUACAUCGCAAAAGUCCGUGGCUACAAGGACGUCAAGAAGAGGUUUAAAAGUAAACGCAUCAGAAUGAAGUUGGAAGAUUUUCGCGUGAGGAUUACAGACGUCGUUGAAUGCUGCGAAGGCUCGCAGUCGCUCUGCUGUUACUUCAGACCAACGAUCAUAUAGGAGGCAUAUAACAGCCAUGCAGCCUAUGGAGGCCCUCUAC